UACGAAGGGGACUAGCGUUGUUCGGAAUUACUGGGCGUAAAGCGCACGUAGGCGGAUUUGUAAGUCAGGGGUGAAAUCCCGGGGCUCAACCUCGGAACUGCCUUUGAUACUGCAAAUCUCGAGUCCGAUAGAGGUGGGUGGAAUUCCUAGUGUAGAGGUGAAAUUCGUAGAUAUUCGGAAGAACACCAGUGGCGAAGGCGGCUCACUGGACUGGUAUUGACGCUGAGGUGCGAAAGCGUGGGGAGCAAACGGG
rnacentral:rRNA from 1 species